rnacentral:lncRNA from 1 species
AGAUCAGGCAUACAAUGAGUGUGCUGUUGAGUUCCAUCCACAGAACCUGAAGAGGCUUUGGAGAAGCUGAAGGGAAAAAAGUUGUAACUCUGCCGGAAGUGGAGCUCUGCUUUGUCCCUGUGACCUCUGUCAUCUGCUCUACUGCUCUCCAAGCAACACCAUAAUGAAUGAACAAAACACUUAAUUGUGAAUCACUUUGGAAUUCAUGCUAUUUAUCUUCAUUUUUAUCACCUCCUGGGGGAGGUGAACACACAGCUGGGAGGACUGCUGUGUGGAACUGGAGCUGUCCACAUAUUUGGGUCUGAGAGCCAGCAGACUAGAUCCAAGUUUGGGGUCCUUCUUCAACUCACGUGUUGACUCAUUCACCAUUUGCCAUUUCCUCCCAGCAAGACAAGAACUGACUUCCUUCAUGGAAAAAGACCUGCUAAGAAAUGGUGAGACCACAAAGAAAAGACGAAGAGGUCUGAGUGAAUCAUCCUGCAAACUGGAUUCAGACUGUAGGUGCUCAGUCUGAUCAAGAAUAGGAGAAAACCAAGGAGUGAAAACUGUGCUCAGCACCACGGAUGUGAUGGCUCAG